rnacentral:rRNA from 1 species
CCUACGGGAGGCAGCAGUGAGGAAUAUUGGUCAAUGGACGGAAGUCUGAACCAGCCAUGCCGCGUGCAGGAAGACGGCUCUAUGAGUUGUAAACUGCUUUUGUACAAGGGUAAACCUGAAUACGUGUAUUCAGCUGAAAGUACUGUACGAAUAAGGAUCGGCUAACUCCGUGCCAGCAGCCGCGGUAAUACGGAGGAUCCAAGCGUUAUCCGGAAUUAUUGGGUGUAAAGGGUGCGUAGACGGAAGAACAAGUUGGUUGUGAAAUCCCUCGGCUCAACUGAGGAACUGCAACCAAAACUAUUCUCCUUGAGUGUCGGAGAGGAAAGUGGAAUUCCUAGUGUAGCGGUGAAAUGCGUAGAUAUUAGGAGGAACACCAGUGGCGAAGGCAGCUUACUAAACUGCCACUGACAUUGAUGCUCGAAAGUGUGGGUAUCAAACAGGAUUAGAUACCCGGGUAGUC